GGUGCUAUAGUGUAGUGGUCAUCACUCGGGAUUUUGAUCAAAAGAUCCGCUUACGUAAUCCAUGCACCACACUAUAGCUGGUGGGAAUUUCCCGGAACCCAGGUUCGAACCCUGGUAGCACCU
rnacentral:tRNA from 1 species